rnacentral:rRNA from 1 species
AGUGAGCGGCAACAGCUCAAAUUUGAAAUCUGGGGCAAGCCCGAGUUGUAAUUUGCAGAGGAUGCUUUUGGCGCGGUGCCUUCUGAGUUCCCUGGAACGGGACGCCGGAGAGGGUGAGAGCCCCGUACAGUUGGACACCAAGCCUUUGUAAAGCUCCUUCGACGAGUCGAGUAGUUUGGGAAUGCUGCUCAAAAUGGGGGGUAAAUGCCUUCUAAAGCUAAAUACCGGCCAGAGACCGAUAGCGCACAAGUAGAGUGAUCGAAAGAUGAAAAGCACUUUGAAAAGAGGGUUAAACAGUACGUGAAAUUGUUGAAAGGGAAGCGCUCGUGACCAGACUUGCGCCCGGCGGAUCAUCCGGCCUUCUGGCCGGUGCACUCCGCCGGGCUCAGGCCAGCAUCGGUUUUCCUGGNGGGACAAAAGCGGCGGGAACGUACCUCCUCCGGGAGUGUUAUAGCCCGCCGCAGCAUACCCCCGGGGGGACCGAGGACCGCGCUUCGGCAAGGAUGCUG